rnacentral:rRNA from 1 species
GACAGAGGGGGCAAGCGUUGCUCGGAAUUACUGGGCGUAAAGGGCGCGUAGGCGGCCUGUUAAGUCGGACGUGAAAUCCCUCGGCUCAACCGGGGAACUGCGUCCGAAACUGGCGGGCUUGAAUUCGGGAGAGGGAUGUGGAAUUCCAGGUGUAGCGGUGAAAUGCGUAGAUAUCUGGAGGAACACCGGUGGCGAAGGCGGCAUCCUGGACCGACAUUGACGCUGAGGCGCGAAAGCCAGGGGAGCAAACGGG